AUGUAUACUUGUGCCAUGUUGGUGUGCUGCACCCAUCAACUCGUCAUUUACGUCAGGUAUAACUCCCAAUGCAAUCCCUCCCCCCUCCCACCUCCCCAUGAUAGGCCCCGGUGUGUGAUGUUCCCCUUCCUGAGUCCAAGUGAUCUCAUUGUUCAGUUCCCACCUAUGAGUGAGAACAUGCGGUGUGUGAUGUUCCCCUUCCUGAGUCCAAGUGAUCUCAUUGUUCAGUUCCCACCUAUGAGUGAGAACAUGCGGUGUUUGGUUUUCUGUUCUUGUGAUAGUUUGCUAAGAAUGAUGGUUUCCAGCUGCAUCCAUGUCCCUACAAAGGACGCAAACUCAUCCUUUUUUAUGGCUGCAUAGUAUUCCAUGGUGUAUAUGUGCCACAUUUUCUUAAUCCAAUCUGUCACUGAUGGACAUCUCCCUCUAAGCCUUUUUAAGAAUUACCCCAGUGGGGAAAAAGAGGAACCUUAGCACAGCAGGGUAAAGUUGGAAGUCAAGGCUUUCAAUUUGGUCUUUGACAACAGUGAUAAUAAUGGGGCAUGCUUGGUUCAUGGUGUUUGGGUAGAGUGUCUAUUCUCUGAAGGUUUACUGUCUGAGCUGGAUGCCCCUUUCUUGGUCCUUUGCCUAGAAAGAGCAGGUUCCUUUGGCAUUUUUUCUUUGUUGUCUGUACUCAAUGUUUGCAGAUUGUUGGCUUCCUCAGCAUCCAGCAUGGAAUGUAUUAGGCAAAAUGUAGACUCAGGAAAAUAAAUACAGGGUAACCACCCAGGCUGCUGUAAGGCCUGCCUUUUCCUCUCUAUCUUUCAGAGUCUUCUUAACUUUGUUUUAUGUGUAAUAUGCAGAGUUUUAAUUAGGGAGGAAUGUAUCUACCCUAUCAUGUCUGGAGACUAGGAUCAUAUACAGUGACAGCAACUUUAACAAAUAUAAAUUAUUUGAAUUCUUCCAUUUAAAUGCUGUAAAUUAGAGUCAUAUAGUUAGAAUGUAGUGGAGGAGCAGAUCGAACUCUAAACUUGUCCUAACAUCUAAGUAUUUUCAGAAAAGGAAUAAUCAAUGAAUGAGACUGAAUACAAAUGUCUAGUAAGGAAGUGGCUAAAACCCGAAUGAAGAGGCAUCAUGGAAACUAAGAUACAUGUGUUUUUCAUCAGUGCAGGAAUGGUCAACUGUCAAUGGUGCUGAAAUAUUGAACUAGAAUAAGCACUAAGAAUUGACCAUUGUAUAUUGAUUAACAAAAUUAUUAGUGAUCCUAUCAGAAACAAUUUUGGAGUAGUAGGCUUGGAAACAUUUAAAUGGCUUAAAAACUGAAUGUCAAAGACAAAACUGUUAAGACAGUAAAAAGAUGAGUGGUUGUCAGGAGUUAAGGGAGGGGAAGUAAUAGUUCAGCAGAGCACAGAGGAUUUUUAAGGCAGUGAAAUUAUUC
rnacentral:lncRNA from 1 species